GUAUGUUGAUUUAUCAGGAAAGUUAAAUGAAGAAAUCUUCAAGAGGCCAUUUAUAAUUCUGUUUUUAAAAGUCAAAAUUGAAAAGAGUUGGGCCAGGUGCAGUGGCUCACGCCUGUAAUCCCAGCAUUUUCGGAGGCCGGGUGGGUAGAUCACCUGAGGUGAGGCGUUGGAGACCAGCCUGGCCAACGUGGUGAAACCCUGUCUUUACUAAAGAUACAAAAAUUAGCUGGGCGUGGUGGCAUGUGCCUGUAAUCCUAGCUACUCAGGAGGCUGAGGUAGGAGAAUCGCUUGAACCUGGGUGGCAGAGGUUGCAGUGAGCCAAGAUGGUGCCAUGCACUCCAGCCUGAGCAACAGAGUGAGACUCCAUCUCAAAAAAAAAAAAAAAAAAAAUUGAUAGAGUUUAUACUAUUUAAUGUUUAAAUGUUUUCUGUAAAUUAAACAUCAAUAGACUUGAUAAUCAUAUUUUAGGAACAUUUUUUUCCAUUGAAUUAUUUACAUAUACUGUUGUACUGUAAGGCUUUAAAUUAAUUUUAAUAUUUUAUUAUUUUAAUUAGCAUUUGAAAUGUAUAGUGUUCAAUAAAUGGAUUGCUAAAUUA
rnacentral:lncRNA from 1 species